rnacentral:rRNA from 1 species
GUCUGCGGCCGCGCCGCCCUGAACGCGCCUGGGCCCGGCCGAUCGCGGAAGCUAAGCAGGGUCCGGCCUGCUCAGUCCAUGGAUGGGAGACCGCCUAGGAAGACCGGGUGCCGUAGGCG